AAUGAACGUUGGCGGCAUGGAUUAGGCAUGCAAGUCGAGCGAGAAGUGUAGCAAUACACGGAAAGCGGCGGAAGGGAGAGUAAUACGUGGGAAUCUGCCCUUAGGCCUGGGAUAGCAGCGGGAAACUGCUGGCAAUACCAGAUAUUGUCUAUGGACCAAAGGUGUGAUUCCGUCUAGGGAUGAGCCCACGUCCUAUUAGCUAGUUGGUAGGGUAAUGGCCUACCAAGGCGAUGAUGGGUAGCGGGUGUGAGAGCAUGACCCGCCUCACUGGGACUGAGACACUGCCCAGACACCUACGGGUGGCUGCAGUCGAGAAUCUUCGGCAAUGGGCGCAAGCCUGACCGAGCGAUGCCGCGUGCGGGAUGAAGGCCUUCGGGUUGUAAACCGCUGUCGAGGGGGAGCAACUUCCAUAGAGUUAUCUUUAUGGAUUGAGUGAUCCCUGGAGGAAGGACGGGCUAAGUUCGUGCCAGCAGCCGCCGUAAUAC
rnacentral:rRNA from 1 species